UUUCCGUAGGUGAACCUGCGGAAGGAUCAUUAUUGGAUUUUGAAACUUCAGACUGCUGCUGGCACUCCUCGGAGUACAUGUGCACGCUUGUUGUCCAUUAUUUCUCCCACUGUGCACACACUGUAGCCUUUUCAGCAGUCCUAUGUUGUUUUUCACAAUAUCUGAAUGUAAUAGAAUGUUUUUAACUCUUGGGAAAUACAAUACAACUUUCAGCAACGGAUCUCUUGGCUCUG
rnacentral:misc_RNA from 1 species